rnacentral:rRNA from 1 species
UACGAAGGGGGCUAGCGUUGCUCGGAAUCACUGGGCGUAAAGCGCACGUAGGCGGAUUGCUAAGUCAGGGGUGAAAUCCUGGAGCUCAACUCCAGAACUGCCUUUGAUACUGGCGAUCUCGAGUCCGGGAGAGGUGAGUGGAACUGCGAGUGUAGAGGUGAAAUUCGUAGAUAUUCGCAAGAACACCAGUGGCGAAGGCGGCUCGCUGGGACGGUACUGACGCUGAGGCACGAAAGCGUGGGGAGCAAACAGG